rnacentral:rRNA from 1 species
AGAGUUUGAUCAUGGCUCAGAACGAACGCUGGCGGCGUGGAUAAGACAUGCAAGUCGAACGGGACUUGCUCUGUAGCAAUACAGAGUAAGUCCAGUGGCGCAAGGGUGCGUAACACGUGGGGAAUCUGCCGAGAAGUGGGGGAUAGCUCGCCGAAAGGCGAAUUAAUACCGCAUGUGACCAGGGUUGACAUCAACCUGACGUCAAAGCCGGGGCAACCUGGCGCUUCUUGAUGACCCCGCGGCCUAUCAGCUUGUUGGUGAGGUAACGGCUCACCAAGGCUAUGACGGGUAGCUGGCCUGAGAGGACGACCAGCCACACUGGAACUGAGACACGGUCCAGACACCUACGGGUGGCAGCAGUCGAGAAUUUUUCUCAAUGGGGGCAACCCUGAAGGAGCGACGCCGCGUGGAGGAUGAAGGUCUUCGGAUUGUAAACUCCUGUCAUUCGAGAACAAGGUGCAUUCGUUAACUGCGGGUGCAUUGAUAGUAUCGGAAGAGGAAGAGACGGCUAACUCUGUGCCAGCAGCCGCGGUAAUACAGAGGUCUCAAGCGUUGUUCGGAUUCAUUGGGCGUAAAGGGUGCGUAGGUGGUGCUGUAAGUCAGGUGUGAAAUCCCGGGGCUCAACCCCGGAACUGCACUUGAUACUGCAGUGCUCGAGGACUGGAGAGGAGAUCGGAAUUCAUGGUGUAGCAGUGAAAUGCGUAGAUAUCAUGAGGAAGACCAGUGGCGAAGGCGGAUCUCUGGACAGUUCCUGACACUGAGGCACGAAGGCCAGGGGAGCAAACGGGAUUAGAUACCCCGGUAGUCCUGGCAGUAAACGGUGCACGUUUGGUGUGAGCGGAUUCGACCCCGCUUGUGCCGGAGCUAACGCGUUAAACGUGCCGCCUGGGGAGUACGGUCGCAGAUUAAAACUCAAAGAAACUGACGGGGCCCGCACAAGCGGUGGAGUAUGUGGCUUAAUUCGAUGCAACGCGAAGAACCUUACCAAGCCUUG